rnacentral:rRNA from 1 species
UGCGGCGCACUCACUACUUCCGAAAGCCCAGCAUUUUGAGACAACAAUCCCUUCUUGUUCACGAUCAACUUAUUCGACCGUGGAACUGCCAUGGAUUGGUCUUUCGGUGCCGAUUGAUGCACGGUCGUCGGCGCCAUUAUG